UACGUAGGGACCAAGCGUUGUUCGGAUUUACUGGGCGUAAAGGGCGCGUAGGCGGCAAUUCAAGUCAUCUGUGAAAUCUCCGGGCUUAACCCGGAAAGGUCAGAUGAUACUGCUUUGCUAGAGUGCGGAAGGGGCAAUCGGAAUUCUUGGUGUAGCGGUGAAAUGCGUAGAUAUGCGGAGGAACACCGAUGGCGAAGGCAAUCCCCUGGGCCUGCACUGACGCUCAUGCACGAAAGCGUGGGGAGCAAACAGG
rnacentral:rRNA from 1 species